GAGAUGUCCCAGCUUGCCCGCCGGGGCGCGACGGAGCGCGGGCCCCACCCAGGGAGGUUCCGCCCAGCCGAGAUUCCUCACUCCCUUUUGGUUCCGGGCGGUGGACCGAAUUGUCUAGUAGGUUGUUUAGCAAAGUCAGACUGUAACAAACCACAUGAGCUUUAAAAAAUACUUUUAUGUGUGCUCUGCCAGCAUGUAUGUCUGAGCAUCAUGAGCGUGCCCGGUGCCUACAGAGGCCAGAAGAGGGCGUAAGACGCCUUGGAACUGGAGACAGUCAGUUUGUGCGUUCCCAUAUGCAUGCCAGGACUCAGUCAAUCCUGGAUCCUCAGAAAGAGUGACACGUGCUCUUGGCCGAUGAUCCAUCUCUCUAGCCCCUCACAUAAUAAAUGUUUUGGAAUAAACUAAGGUUUGUUGGGGUAA